rnacentral:rRNA from 1 species
GUGCCAGCCGCCGCGGUAAUACGGAGGGGGCUAGCGUUGUUCGGAAUUACUGGGCGUAAAGCGCGCGUAGGCGGGCUGGAAAGUUGGGGGUGAAAUCCCGGGGCUCAACCCCGGAACUGCCUCCAAAACUAUCAGCCUCGAGUUCGAGAGAGGUGAGUGGAAUUGCGAGUGUAGAGGUGAAAUUCGUAGAUAUUCGCAGGAACACCAGUGGCGAAGGCGGCUCACUGGCUCGAUACUGACGCUGAGGUGCGAAAGUGUGGGGAGCAAACAGGAUUAGAAACCCGAGUAGUCC